GGUCCACGUAGAAUGCACCUGUCCUCCUCAAGAAGAUGAUGCUGUUGAUUAUGGGUAUUCUAUAAAAGGUUGGGGGUCGAAGAAACAGAGGACACGUUGAUGAACUCUGAGGAAAUAUGCCUCAAUCAAAAAAUCACAUUGAAACUGUUUCUCCUCGGUCGUUUCUGACCGGUUUCUUUUUGCAUUUGAUGCCAAGUUGACUAGGAUGGUUGCGGUUGAAGUCACUGGCAGGCCCCAGAUUUCCUUUUGCCUUGGAUGCGAGCUCUGUCUGAGAGAUGCAAAUUUUGCAGAAGGUUAUGAGCUGUAAGCAUCUCAAACUUCAUGGCAUACUGUGAACUGAAGACAAGGGCAGUCAAGCAAAUUUUGUGUGGAACCUAUAAAAAAAAUCCUUUGAUGAGCCCUCUACACUGAGGUAAACUUGAAGCUCCUUCUCUGCACAGUGAUGAAGUCACUUAGACCCAAGCUUGCUUAACCCUGCAUUACAAAUACAAGAUGAGACACAUUGUUUCCUUCAAGUUGGAGGAAAUGAUAAACCUUUCAAGUACUCAAAGAAUUGCCUUUUGGCAUGCUUGUCCUCAGGGCUACUCUAGUCAAUGCUAUAUUUAUAAUGAUUGUUUUCCUAAAUGUGAAAUUCCGGAGUGGUUUUGCCAUCAAAGUGGUUCUUUAUUGAGAAUCCAGCUAAUUCCAAAUCUUUAUACUAAUUCUGACUGGAUAGGAAUUGCUCUAUUUGCUACAUUCACAGUGCACAAGCAUCGAACUCUCAUUCUUGACAAUUCAGCUACAGAAAUUUCUCAUGGCUUUUCUUGUUCUUUGAGAAGUGACAUGGGCAACUGGACGGUGUCAAAUAAACAUUGCAUCACUGAGUCUGAACACAACAAAUUUAUUUGGUUAAAGCAAUGUAAGAUCAUGCAUGUACCUCAUGCUCGAUUUUCAGAUAAGUUGAAUUGUAGCAAUCUCUUAACUGCUUUAUUUGGUAGUGAUAGCCAAGACUUGAUGGUGCAGAACUGUGGUUACAUUCUUGUGUACCAGCAAAAUGUGGGAGAGUUGGUGCAAACAUUAGUCCAAUGCUCAACCAUGUUUUCUGAUAAUUCCGAUCUCAUCCAUCAAUUUACUGCUCAUCAAUCUAGAACAAAGCAGCAGAGCCAUGAUGAUGAUAAUGUUAAGAGGGAAACCAGUGGAACUGGUGGGUCUAGUGGGACAUUGAGAGGGCUUCAGGAAAAAAUAAAGCAGCAGAGCCAUGAUGAUGAUGAUGAAGAUGAGGGAGAAACCAGUGGAAUUGGCGGAUCUAAUGGGACAUUGAGAGUGCCACAUUAUCAGGAAAAAGUUUGUGUAACUUGCUAUCAAUAAUUCAUUGAUGCCAGAGGCCAACCCAUUAUUGUCAUUGUCGAGAACACUCUGAGGUACAGAAGUGUGGACUUCGUCUUGUGUACCUACAAGAUGAACAAGAGUUUUGGCAAAUUCUAUUCCACUUUAUGACAAUUGGGACAUCAUUCGUGAAGAUUUAGUGGAACACCGACCAUUAAAAUCAUCCUCAAAAGCAUCCUCAAAUCAAACAUUCUCUAUGAAUAAAUGUUUUCCUCAAAGUGAAAUUCCGGAAUGGUUUAGGCAUCAAAGUACAGGCCCUUCUCUGUCUAUCCAGCUACCUUCAAAUUUCAGUAAUGCUAGUACUUGGAUAGGACUAGUUUUAUGUGCUUCAUUUUCAGUCCAUGAGCAUCCAACUAUCACAAGUGAUAAUCUGGAUUCAGACAUUUCCCACCACCUUAUUUGUCAUUUGGCUGCUGAGAAAGGUAGCCUAGAAUCUCCCCUUCUCUAUCAAAUCACUGAAGAGAACUUCACGUGGUUAAAUAUACAGGGAUUCAUUUGGCUAGACUACAUACCUCGUGGGUCAUUGUCAGAUUUUUUUAAUCAGAGCAGUCAGAUUGAGGUUUCAAUUGGAAGCAACUUCCCAGAUUUGAUGGUGAAGAAGUGUGGGCAACGAACAUUUCUUAUACCAUCAAGAUGUGGAAGAGUUUGAGCAAACGAUCAUUAAGUGCUCUACUGUGCCUUUUUACAGUAUGGAACUCAUCCAUCAAUCAGUAGCUAGUGAUUCUCCAAAUGAUAAGCCAAAGAAUGAAGCUGGUUAUUCUUAAGAGGAUCCAAACCUUGGAAGGCUGAGAAGACCCAUUUACCCAGAGCAAAGCAGUAGAGAUAGCAUCUAUCUUGAAGAUCAACACCCUGAUAAUCAACUCAGCAAAAGUGAUUUACAGGAAUUUGAUUGAAGUUUGGUAUAUAAUUCUUGUUUUCCUCCAAGUGAAAUUCUUGAUGAUAGUACUUGGAGGGGACUUGCUCUAUGUGUUUCUUUCUCAGUCAACAUCAAGGAUCCUAUUGCCAUCCUAGACAUUCUUAAUUCAGAAAAUGCUCAUCAUCUUUAUUGUCAUUUGGAAAGCAAUGUUGGUUCUUUGGAACCUCUUCAUGCCUAUUGCCUUACUAAAGAUGAUGUCAUGUCGUUACAUCUAGGUGGAUUCAUGUGGCUAUCCUAUAUACUACGUAGCUCAUUUCCAGAUUGGUUGAAUCAAUGUAAUCACAUUGAGGCUUCAAUUGUUAGCGAUUGCCCAGACUUGACAAUGGUGAAGUGUGGAUUCCGUCUUGUACAUCAGCAUGAUGAGGAAGAGUUUAAGCAAACUACAAGGCACGGCCUAGCCUCAUUGUCUGACAAUUGGAGUCUCAUCCUUCAUUUGGCAGCUCACAGUAGAAAAAGAAAUAAGCAAAACCUCUCCAUGCUUAAAGAGAAAGGCAAGCAUGUGCUAGAAUAGCAUCUCCUCUUAUUGUUCUGCUGCUUUUCUUAGCGGUUCUCCCUUCUGUUCUCAAUUACAAGUCUAACUACUAGACACUCAUAAUCUCUGCUGCUUAGUUAACUCAAUAUUGGUCUCGAGUUUCUUAUUCCUUGGACUAAUGUGAGCACUGUCUUUAGGUUUUGCAUUAAUAGGAGGCAACAAAGGCAUUGUCACUAAUAGUGAGCUGUUAAAAAUAUGCUUUAAUUUUAUUGGAAGGAACGAUUAUAAAUGAACUCUUUGUUUGCACA